rnacentral:rRNA from 1 species
AUAGAGAGUUUGAUUAUGGCUCAGAUUGAACGCUGGCGGGAUGCUUUACACAUGCAAGUCGAACGGCAGCAUGGACUUCGGUCUGGUGGCGAGUGGCGAACGGGUGAGUAAUGUAUCGGAACGUGCCUAGUAGCGGGGGAUAACUACGCGAAAAAGCGUAGCCAAUACCGCAUACGCCCUUCGGGGAAAGCGGGGGACCUUCGGGCCUCGCACUAUUAGGAGCGGCCGAUAUCGGAUUAGCUAGUUGGUGGGGUAACGGCUCACCAAGGCGACGAUCCGUAGCUGGUUUGAGAGGACGACCGCCACACUGGGACUGGAGACACGGCCCAGACUCCUACGGGAGGCAGCAGGGAAUUUUGGACAAUGGGGAAACCUCGAUCCAGCCAUCCCGCGUGUGCGAUGAAGGCCUUCGGGUUGUAAAGCACUUUGGCAGGAAAGAAACGGCACGAUGGUCACCCCCGUGCAACUGACGGUACCUGCAGAAUAAGCACCGGCUAACUACGCGCCAGCAGCCGCGGUAAUACGUAGGUGCAAGCGUUAAUCGGAAUUACUGGGCGUAAAGCGUGCGCAGGCGGUCUGAAAGAAAGAUGUGAAAUCCCAGAGCUUAACUUUGGAACUGCAUUUUUAACUACCGAGCUAGAGUGUGUCAGAGGGAGGUGGAAUUCCGCGUGUAGCAGUGAAAUGCGUAGAUAUGCGGAGGAACACCGAUGGCGAAGGCAGCCUCCUGGGAUAACACUGACGCUCAUGCACGAAAGCGUGGGGAGCAAACAGGAUUAGAUACCCUGGUAGUCCACGCCCUAAACGAUGUCAACUAGCUGUUGGGGCCUUCGGGCUCCUGCAGCGCAGCUAACGCGUGAAGUUGACCGCCUGGGGAGUACGGUCGCAAGAUUAAAACUCAAAGGAAUUGACGGGGACCCGCACAAGCGGUGGAUGAUGUGAUUAAUUCGAUGCAACGCGAAAACCUUACCUACCCUUGACAUGUCUGGAAUCCCGAAGAGAUUUGGGAGUGCUCGCAAGAGAACCGGAACACAGGUGCUGCAUGGCUGUCGUCAGCCUGUGUCGAGAUGUUGCUUAAGUCCCGCAACGAGCGCAACCCUUGUCAUUAGUUGCUACGAAAGGGCACUCAAUGAGACUGCCGGUGACAAACCGGAGGAAGGUGGGGAUGACGUCAAGUCCUCAUGGCCCUUAUGGGUAGGGCUUCACACGUCAUACAAUGGUCGGGACAGAGGGUCGCCAACCCGCGAGGGGAGCCAAUCCCAGAAACCCGAUCGUAGUCCGGAUCGCAGUCUGCAACUCGACUGCGUGAAGUCGGAAUCGCUAGUAAUCGCGGAUCAGCAUGUCGCGGUGAAUACGUUCCGGGUCUUGUACACACCGCCCGUCACACCAUGGGAGUGGGUUUUACCAGAAGUAGUUAGCCUAACCGUAAGGAGGGCGAUUACCACGGUAGGAUUCAUGACUGGGUGAAGUCGUAACAAGGUAA